rnacentral:rRNA from 1 species
GCGGUAAAGGAUGACCAUGCGCCUGAUUAGUUUGUUGGUGAGGUAACGGCUCACCAAGACUACGAUCAGUAGGGGGCCUGAGAGGGUUAUCCCCCACACUGGUACUGAGACACGGACCAG